GACGAACGCUGGCGGCGUGCCUAAUACAUGCAAGUUGAGCGAUGAAGCUUGGUGCUUGCACCAAUUUGAAGAGCAGCGAACGGGUGAGUAACGCGUGGGGAAUCUGCCUUUGAGCGGGGGACAACAUUUUGAAACGAAUGCUAAUACCGCAUAACAACUUUAAACAUAAGUUUUAAGUUUGAAAGAUGCAAUUGCAUCACUCAAAGAUGAUCCCGCGUUGUAUUAGCUAGUUGGUGAGGUAAAGGCUCACCAAGGCGAAGAUACAUAGCCGACCUGAGAGGGUGAGCGGCCAAAUUGGGAGUGGGACACGGCCCAAAAACCUACGGGAGGCAGCAGUAGGGAAUCUUCGGAAAUGGAAGAAAGUCUGACCGAGCAACGACGCGUGAGUGAAGAAGGUUUUCGGAUCGUAAAACUCUGUUGGUAGAGAAGAACGUUGGUGAGAGUGGAAAGAUCAUCAAGUGACGGUAACUACCCAGAAAGGGACGGCUAACUACGUG
rnacentral:rRNA from 1 species